rnacentral:lncRNA from 1 species
UCUCUCUCUCUCUCUCUCUAUAUAUAUAUCUAUGAGGGACCCCUAGUCAGUCAUCAGUCCUCUCUCUCUCUAUAUAUAUAUAUAUAUGUCUAUGUGGGACCCCUAGUCAGUCAUCAGUCAUCUCUCUCUCUCUAUAUAUAUAUAUAUCUAUGUAGGACUCCUAGUCAGUCCCCUCUCUCUCUCUCUCUCUCUCUAUAUAUAUAUAUAUAUCUAUGUAGGACUCCUAGUCAGUCCCCUCUCUCUCUCUCUAUAUAUAUAUAUAUCUAUGUAGGACUCCUAGUCAGUCCCCUCUCUAUAUACAGUAUAUCUCUAUGUAGGACCCCUAGUCAGUCCCCUCUCUAUAUACAGUAUGUCUCUAUGUAGGACCCCUAGUCAGUCCCCUCUCUAUAUACAGUAUGUCUCUAUGUAGGACCCCUAGUCAGUCCCCUCUCUAUAUACAGUAUAUCUCUAUGUAGGACUCCUAGUCAGUCCCCUCUCUAUAUACAGUAUAUCUCUAUGUAGGACCCCUAGUCAGUCCCCUCUCUAUAUACAGUAUAUCUCUAUGUAGGACCCCUAGUCAGUCCCCUCUCUAUAUACAGUAUAUCUCUAUGUAGGACCCCUAGUCAGUCCCCUCUCUAUAUACAGUAUAUCUCUAUGUAGGACUCCUAGUCAGUCCCCUCUCUAUAUACAGUAUGUCUCUAUGUAGGACUCCUAGUCAGUCCCCUCUCUAUAUACAGUAUAUCUCUAUGUAGGACCCCUAGUCAGUCCCCUCUAUAUAUACAGUAUGUCUCUAUGUAGGACUCCUAGUCAGUCCCCUCUCUAUAUACAGUAUAUCUCUAUGUAGGACUCCUAGUCAGUCCCCUCUCUAUAUACAGUAUAUCUCUAUGUAGGACCCCUAGUCAGUCCCCUCUCUAUAUACAGUAUAUCUCUAUGUAGGACUCCUAGUCAGUCCCCUCUCUAUAUACAGUAUGUCUCUAUGUAGGACCCCUAGUCAGUCCCCUCUCUAUAUACAGUAUAUCUCUAUGUAGGACUCCUAGUCAGUCCCCUCUCUAUAUACAGUAUGUCUCUAUGUAGGACUCCUAGUAUGUAGGACCCCUAGUCAGUCCCCUCUCUAUAUACAGACUCCUAGUAUGUAGGACCCCUAGUCAGUCCCCUCUCUAUAUACAGUAUGUCUCUAUGUAGGACUCCUAGUAUGUAGGACUCCUAGUCAGUCCCCUCUCUAUAUACAGUAUGUCUCUAUGUAGGACUCCUAGUAUGUAGGACCCCUAGUCAGU